GGGGGUAUAGCUCAAGUGGUAGAGCACACGCUUAGCAUGCAUGAGGUCCUGGGUUCAAUCCCCAGUACCUCCU
rnacentral:tRNA from 1 species